UGGAGCGCAGCUUCGAGCGGCGGGAGGAGCGCGCCUUCUGGGGCGGGAUUCAGGACAGGUUCGCGGGAGGGAGGAUCAGACGCUGAAGUCCUCUGCCCACUCUUGCUGUUAGCGGUGAGCUUUGGGAGCCACCCCCCACCCCCGGAAGCCUUCCAUGGGUCAGCCGGAGAUGGAGAUGGACCCGGCCUCAUGUCUACAGACACUUGCUGUGUAACCAAGGCACCUACCACAGAUUGCCCACAGGCUGGGCUUCCAGACAUCGCUGUCGCGGGGUUCAUUCGUGCACACUUGUAUCCAAACUUCAGCUGCCUUUCCCACCUGCCACUUAGCCACUUCCUGAGUUCCAGCUUCCCAGGUCUUCCGCCUCAUCACCUUGUCACAAACCAGUGUUCCUUGCAGUCUUAGCUGUUGCUACCAUUACCUCCUAUGCCACCCUUCCACAGGAGACUCCACACACUCUCGUUACCUGUGACCACUGUGUAGUCAGUCCCUGGCUGACUUCAGAUCCAAACCCUUCACCUUCAGCUUGGCAUUCAAGGCAGUUUGAAAUGUAGAUCCAGUCCCAGGCUGGCUGGUGCUAUUGAGAAAUGGAUUUCACCCCGGGCAGUCAAAGAGGGAACCAAUCUCAACAUUUGUCACCAUCUUUUUUUUUUUUUUUUUAAAGAUUUAUUUAUUUAUAUGUAAGUACACUGUCGCUGUCUUCAGACACACCAGAAGAGGGCAUCAGAUCUCAUUACAGAUGGUUGUGAGCCAUUUGUCACCAUCUUUUUUUUUUUUAAAGAUUUAUUUAUUUAUUAUAUGGAAGUACAUUGUAGCUGUCUUCAGACACUCCAGAAGAGGGAGUCAGAUCUCGUUAUGGAUGGUUGUGAGCCACCAUGUGGUUGCUGGGAUUUGAACUCUGGACCUUCGGAAGAGCAGUCGGGUGCUCUUACCCACUGAGCCAUCUCACCAGCCCCAUUUGUCACCAUCUUAACAAAGAAUAGGCCGACUGAAAUAUUGACCUAGCAGACAUCUACAGAACAUUCCAGCAAGUACUGCAGAGCACACAUUCUUUUCAGUAGCCCCUGGGACUUUCUCUAAAAUAAAUUACUGUUAGGAUGCAAGCAA